GGCCCGGCUUAGAGGCAGUGCUG
rnacentral:siRNA from 1 species